UUCAAUAAAUGAAAAAAUUAGCCCGCUUCUAAAAUAAUAAUAAUAAAUAAAAACAAUGUAAGCUUCGCUGAAAAUUAUUGGGAAGAAUAAAAAUGAGUAUAUUCGAAACAGUAGAGUUCAGUACACGUGGAUAACAAGUUAACCUUUCGACCCUUCCUCACCUCCCUGGUCAUUAAGCAAAGUUUCUCAUUCGGCCCAACAUGGCGUACCGGUGGGAUGAAAAUCUGUUUUAUUUCAUGAUAAUAAAUGAAUAAAGAGCUUGCGUAUAAGAAAUUAUUCUAGGAGAAAAGUAUUUGUAUAAUGAUUGACAGAAUAUUUUGAACAUAUUGAUAUAGUACUUAGGCAGUUCGGAUGGUACAUAUUUUUGUCCUGGACGAGGUCUUUAAUUUUCCUUCAAAUAUAUAUACAUACGUUUCUAUAGUUAUAUGGGUGGGUGUUUAUCACAAAAAGUGAAAUACUAUCCGAUUUAGAUGCACACACUAUACCAGUUUGCUAAUAUUGAGGCCAGGUUGUAAGUAAUAACUGAGUAGAAUUAUAUAGGUAUAAUAUUUGCGUGUAUGUAUUAAGCUGCAUUAUUUCACCCGCCCUAUCUAUGCCUAUAUUUAAUAGUUAUAUUCAUGAAGAGCUUAAAUUUACUAAGAAUUUCCUCAGAUGCAAGUAUUAUCGGCUGAAAUUUACUUGAAAACUCAGCAGCUCAAAAAUUAAAUCCCGAAAGAAAGAAAAAGAGAAAGCAUCAAAGUUUAUUUAACCUGUUGUCCAGUAUAUGGGAAAGAGGAAAAUAGAUGGAACAAGUCAUCUGAAAGGUAUGAUGUCUCAAUACAGAACCUGUCUGUGAUUCUCAAAGUGACCCCGUGAUUGGCUUCUCCCUGUAAAUCAAAAAGUAAAAAAAAACACAAAAUCAUAGUUCUGUUAUGUGUUCAUCGCCAUUUAUUCAAGGACAUUUAGAUAUAUAAGGUUCUUAUAGGGUAGAAAUCACAAAAAUAAAAUCACUUUUCUCUGCGUUAAAUACCAUCAAUAUAUAUAUAUAAGUAUUAUGUUUAAAACAGCAGUUGAACACUUGGAAGUGACAGUACAAUAAUAGUGGAGCUGACAGCACCGUAUCUAUGUAUGUAUGUGUGUGUGCAUAUAUAUAUAUAUAUAUAUAUAUAUGUGUGUGUGUGUGUGUGUAUCUAUUUGUGUAAGUGUGGGUCAGCAAACUUAUACGAUCCUUGAUACUGCUGCUGUUGCUGUAUCUUGAUCAUAAACUAGAUAGAUACGUGAACUGUGCACAUAGACAGGUAAGUAACUAGUGUUAGUAAAAUACGACACACAUGGCCAUCCAAGGAAACCUAACGAAAGUGUCAUACAGGUACCAAAGAAAGGCAUCACAUUUACAAUGGUUGUGGAAAAAACGGUUUUGAUGCCUAUGGAACCUGAGAAUCUACCUCUGUGCUCACCAUCAACAACAUACUUCAGAACAUGAACACAAUGUGUGGCUGAAUUUUUUUAAUAGGCUGAGAAAUAGAUUUUCUUCCGAGGUAAAAAAAAAAAAAAGAAAAGAAAAAGAUAAAACAAAGAAGAAAAUCAAAAAGGUGUGAUGGAAUGAGAUGCCAGUAUGAAAUUGUGAGGAGAAUGUCAGUUUGUGAGCGAGAUAGUGUUCUGAGGCAGAAGGUGUUCCAUCAUCUUGUAGUCGUGUCAUGGUAGAGUUCUAAUGAACAAAAAAAAAAAAAACAGACAAA